UACGUAGGGCGCAAGCGUUAUCCGGAAUUAUUGGGCGUAAAGAGCUCGUAGGCGGUUUGUCGCGUCUGCCGUGAAAGUCCGGGGCUCAACUCCGGAUCUGCGGUGGGUACGGGCAGACUAGAGUGAUGUAGGGGAGACUGGAAUUCCUGGUGUAGCGGUGAAAUGCGCAGAUAUCAGGAGGAACACCGAUGGCGAAGGCGGCUCUCUGGUCCGUUUCUGACGCUGAUGUGCGAAAGCCAGGGUAGCGAACGGG
rnacentral:rRNA from 1 species